rnacentral:rRNA from 1 species
CUACGGGUUGCAGCAGUCAAGAAUCAUUCGCAAUGGGCGAAAGCCUGACGAUGCGACGCCGUGUGGACGAUGAAGGCCUUCGGGUUGUAAAGUCCUUUCGCAAGGGAACAAGAGAUAGUGACUAAUAAUCACUAAAUUUGAGGGUACCUUGUAAAGAAGCACCAGCUAACUCCGUGCCAGCAGCUGCGGUAAUACGGAGGGUGCAAGCAUUAAUCGGAUUUAUUGGGUGUAAAGAGCGCGUAGGCGGGUCAGCAAGUCAGAUGUGAAAUUCCGGAACUCAAUUCCGGAGCUGCAUUUGAAACUACUGAUCUUGAGGAUAGACGGAGAAAACGGAAUUCCACAUGUAGCGGUGAAAUGCGUAGAUAUGUGGAAGAACACCGGUGGCGAAGGCGGUUUUCUAGUUUAUUCCUGACGCUGAGGCGCGAGAGCAAGGGUAGCAAACAGGAUUAGAUACCCCGGUAGUC